rnacentral:rRNA from 1 species
AGAGUUUGAUUCUGGCUCAGAACGAACGCUGGCAGCGUGGAUUAGGCAUGCAAGUCGAACGGGAAGCCACGAGUUCAAGUUUUCGGACAAGAACUUGUGGUGGAUAGUGGCGAAAGGGUGAGUAACGCGUGGGUAAUCUACCCUCAAGUUGGGGACAACACUUCGAAAGGGGUGCUAAUACCGAAUGUUAUCCUUCCAGGCAUCUGGAAGUGAUCAAAGGUGGGGAUCUUCGGACCUGCCGCUUGGGGAGGAACCCGCGUACCAUCAGCUUGUUGGUGAGGUAACGGCUCACCAAGGCUUACGGUUAGCCGGCCUGAGAGGGUGAUCGGCCACACUGGGACUGAGACACUGCCCAGACUCCUACGGGAGGCUGCAGUCGAGGAUCAUUCGCAAUGCGCGAAAGCGUGACGAUGCGACGCUGCGUGGAGGAUGACGGCUUUCGGGUUGUAAACUCCUGUCAUUUGGGAAAAACAGCAUGGGUGUUAACACCACCUGUGUUUGAUGGUACCAGAAGAGGAAGCCACGGCUAACUCUGUGCCAGCAGCCGCGGUAAUACAGAGGUGGCGAGCGUUGUUCGGAUUUACUGGGCGUAAAGCGUACGUAGGUGGUUUCGUAUGUCGGAUGUGAAAGCCCGCGGCUCAACCGCGGAAUUGCAUCCGAAACUACGGGACUUGAGUGCAGGAGGGGAGAGCGGAAUUCUUGGUGUAGCGGUGAAAUGCGUUGAUAUCAAGAAGAACACCGGUGGCGAAGGCGGCUCUCUGGAACGUUACUGACACUGAGGUACGAAAGUUGGGGGAGCGAACAGGAUUAGAUACCCUGGUAGUCCCAACCGUAAACGGUGUGCACUUGGUGUGGGGGGUAUUGACCCCCUCCGUGCCGGAGCUAACGCGUUAAGUGCACCGCCUGGGGAGUACGGCCGCAAGGCUAAAACUCAAAGAAAUUGACGGGGGCCCGCACAAGCGGAGGAGCAUGUGGCUUAAUUCGAUGCAACGCGAAGAACCUUACCAGGGCUUGACAUGUGGCUGCACGCCUCCCGAAAGGGAGGAAGCCUUCGAGGGUGCCACACAGGUGCUGCAUGGCUGUCGUCAGUUCGUGCCGUGAGGUGUUGGGUUAAGUCCCGCAACGAACGCAACCCUUGUGUCUAGUUGCCACCGCAGGUGAUGAGCCUGCGAGCACUCUAGACAGACUGCCCGUACAAGCGGGAGGAAGGUGGGGACGACGUCAAGUCAGUAUGGCCCUUACGCCCUGGGCUGCACACGUGCUACAAUGGCCGGUACAAUGGGAUGCAAUAUCGCGAGGUGGAGCAAAUCCCCAAAACCGGCCCCAGUUCGGAUUGGAGUCUGCAACUCGACUCCAUGAAGUCGGAUUCGCUAGUAACGGCGUAUCAGCUACGACGCCGUGAAUACGUUCCCGGGCCUUGUACAU